rnacentral:rRNA from 1 species
GACAUAGGGUCCAAGCGUUGUCCGGAUUUACUGGGCGUAAAGAGCGCGUAAGCGGCUCGGUAAGUAUGAAGUGAAAUCUCUAGGGCUCAACCCAGAAACUGCUUUACAUACUGCCAAACUGGAGUGAUGCAGAGGUUUGUGGAAUUCCUGGUGUAACGGUGAAAUGUGUUGAUAUCAGGAGGAACACCCAUGGCGAAAGCAGCAAACUGGGCAUCAACUGACGCUGAGGCGCGAAAGCGUGGGUAGCAAACAGG